UACGUAGGAGGCAAGCGUUGUCCGGAAUUACUGGGCGUAAAGCGCGUGUAGGCGGUCUGAAUAGUCUGCUGUGAAAGCGCCUGGCUUAACCGGGCGAGGUCGGCGGAAACUCUCAGACUGGAGGCCGGUAGAGGGGGGUGGAAUUCCCGGUGUAGUGGUGAAAUGCGUAGAGAUCGGGAGGAACACCUGUGGCGAAGGCGGCCCCCUGGGCCGCGCCUGACGCUGAGACGCGAAGGCUGGGGGAGCGAACGGG
rnacentral:rRNA from 1 species